AAGCGUGCGCAGGCGGUUUUGUAAGACUGUCGUGAAAUCCCCCGGGCUCAACCUGGGAAUGGCGAUGGUGACUGCAAGGCUAGAGUUUGGCAGAGGGGGGUAGAAUUCCACGUGUAGCAGUGAAAUGCGUAGAUAUGUGGAGGAACACCGAUGGCGAAGGCAGCCCCCUGGGUCAAAACUGACGCUCAUGCACGAAAGCGUGGGGAGCAAACAGGAUUAGAUACCCCUGU
rnacentral:rRNA from 1 species